AUCCUUUUACUGGUUCACAAGCAUGAUGACUGGGUGUCCUGCAUGUGCAUGACAUGUUCCUCUCUCCUCUUGUUUCAACAUCAGUACAUUAACACAUCUGAUG